AUGACUUUAAGUUUUCAUAUCAUGUGCUUAUGUUUGAAAUAGUUGAACAGAGAUUAGUUGAAUUCAAAAUGGUAGUAAUACUCUUUUGAUUGGAUCUUGGUCAAUUAAAGUAAGUUACAUUUAACAGAACAGAAAGAGGGUUAGAGCAGAAGAUGAUUGGUUUUAAGAAACAAAAAAGAGAAAAGAGAGAAGCGAUGUUGUUAAUUUAUAGGUGUAGCAGUAUGAUCGUUCAAUAGUAGUUAGGAAUUAGGAAAUGGGCCAAUGGAUUCUGAGGAGAGGCUAGAUAGUCGGUUGGUCGGGU
rnacentral:misc_RNA from 1 species